UACGUAGGGGGCAAGCGUUAUCCGGAAUUACUGGGCGUAAAGCGCACGCAGGCGGUUCUCCAAGUUUGGAGUGACAGUUGUCGGCUCAACCGACAAAGGACUUCAAAAACUGGUGAACUUGAGGACGAGAGAGGAACAUGGAACUCCAGGUGUAGUAGUGAAAUGCGUAGAUAUCUGGAAGAACACCAAUGGCGAAGGCAAUGUUCUGGCUCGUUUCUGACGCUCAGGUGCGAAAGCCAGGGGAGCGAACGGG
rnacentral:rRNA from 1 species